rnacentral:rRNA from 1 species
GACGAACGCUGGCGGCGUGCUUAACACAUGCAAGUCGAACGCUGAAGCUUGGUGCUUGCACUGGGUGGAUGAGUGUCGCACGGGUGAGUAAUACGUGAGUAACCUGCCCUUGACUCUGGGAUAAGCCUGGGAAACUGGGUCUAAUACUGGAUAUGACAUGCCACUGCAUGGUGGUGUGUGGAAAGGGUUUUACUGGUUUUGGAUGGGCUCACGGCCUAUCAGCUUGUUGGUGGGGUAAUGGCCUACUAAGGCGACGACGGGUAGCCGGCCUGAGAGGGUGACCGGCCACACUGGGACUGAGACACGGCCCAGACUCCGACGGGAGGCAGAAGUGGGGAAUAUUGCACAAUGGGAGGAAGCCUGAUGCAGCGACGCCGCGUGAGGGAUGACGGCCUUCGGGUUGUAAACCUCUUUCAGCACGGAAGAAGCGAGAGUGACGGUACGGGCAGAAGAAGCGCCGGCUAACUACGUG